rnacentral:rRNA from 1 species
UACGAAGGGGGCUAGCGUUGCUCGGAAUGACUGGGCGUAAAGGGCGCGUAGGCGGUUUGUACAGUCAGAUGUGAAAUUCCCGGGCUCAACCUGGGGGCUGCAUUUGAUACGUGCGGACUUGAGUGGGGAAGAGGGUCGUGGAAUUCCCAGUGUAGAGGUGAAAUUCGUAGAUAUUGGGAAGAACACCGGCGGCGAAGGCGGCGACCUGGUCCUUGACUGACGCUGAGGCGCGAAAAGCGUGGGGAGCAAACAGG